UACUGAGUGAUUUGCCUUGUAUUCAUGUAUUGUCUCCUAGGGUGUUCAGAAGCACGAAGAGGUCAGUAAAGUCAAGGAUGACAGUGUUCUCAGGUUUUUUUUCAUGGAUCUUUAACCAUCUAAAGAAGAGGUAGGCCUUGACAUCCGGCAUCGUCCCCUCCAGAUCUCAUUUGCCCGCCCCAGUCAAUCAAGAGGCAUCGAGUUCUGUUUGAUGAGGAGGGGAAGAUAGUGGUAAGGAGGAUAGACAACUCGAUGAGUAGGCAGGUGACUUUUUCCAAGAGGCGGAACAGACUGCUGAAGAAGAUGAAGGAGCUCUCUAUCCUCUGUGAUGCGAAGAUUGGCCUCAUCGUCUCCAACACCAGCAUGCUCUACGAGUUCUCCAACACCAAGGAUUCGAUGAGUACAUGAACUUGGUCCUCGAUGAUGCUGAGGAAAUCAACGUCAAGAAAAACACUAGGAAGACACUGGGCCGAAUACUCCUCAAAGGUGACAACAUAACUUUGAUGAUGAACAGUGGCAAGUGAAGGUUCUUAUGGCAGGAACGAUGUUUGGUGCUCGCGUUGAGUAUUUCUGGCACGUUGUACUCCAUCCAUUCAGACUUACAUGUAUCAUGUCAUUGUGGAUUAGUGAGGGAGUUGUACCUGCUGUUAUGUUGUGGCGAUGAGCUGGUCACUUGUGUGUGCCAUAUUGGCAUCUUAUGUUCAGCUUGACCUAAAGUUUUGCUCUGCCCUCUACUCUCCGCGCUAACUUGGCGGGAUCAGAUCAACAUGAGAUGUGCUGAAUUAUCAA